rnacentral:rRNA from 1 species
UUUUAUGGAGAGUUUGAUCCUGGCUCAGGACGAACGCUGGCGGCGUGCCUAAUACAUGCAAGUCGAGCGAACAGAGAAGGAGCUUGCUCCUUUGACGUUAGCGGCGGACGGGUGAGUAACACGUGGGCAACCUACCUUAUAGUUUGGGAUAACUCCGGGAAACCGGGGCUAAUACCGAAUAAUCUGUUUCACCUCAUGGUGAAAU